rnacentral:rRNA from 1 species
AUUGAACGCUGGCGGCAUGCCUUACACAUGCAAGUCGAACGGUAACAGGUCUUCGGAUGCUGACGAGUGGCGAACGGGUGAGUAAUACAUCGGAACGUGCCCAGACGUGGGGGAUAACGAGGCGAAAGCUUUGCUAAUACCUCAUACGAUCUAAGGAUGAAAGCAGGGGACCGCAAGGCCUUGUGCGUUUGGAGCGGCCGAUGGCAGAUUAGGUAGUUGGUGGGAUAAAAGCUUACCAAGCCGACGAUCUGUAGCUGGUCUGAGAGGACGACCAGCCACACUGGGACUGAGACACGGCCCAGACUCCUACGGGAGGCAGCAGUGGGGAAUUUUGGACAAUGGGCGAAAGCCUGAUCCAGCAAUGCCGCGUGCAGGAUGAAGGCCUUCGGGUUGUAAACUGCUUUUGUACGGAACGAAAAGGCUCUGGCUAAUACCUGGGGCACAUGACGGUACCGUAAGAAUAAGCACCGGCUAACUACGUG